GGCUGGGUAUCCAAGCGGCCAACGGAACCCGAUGCACAUCGGGCGGCAUCAGCCUGCGCAAGGUUCGAAUCCUGCUCCAGCCACGA
rnacentral:tRNA from 1 species